rnacentral:rRNA from 1 species
UACAGAGGGUGCGAGCGUUAAUCGGAAUUACUGGGCGUAAAGCGCACGUAGUCGGCUUUGUAAGUCGGGUGUGAAAGCCCCGGGCUCAACCUGGGAAUGCCAUUCGAGACUGCAUAGCUAGGGUGCGGAAGAGGGAAGCGGAAUUUCAGGUGUAGCGGUGAAAUGCGUAGAUAUCUGAAGGAACACCAGUGGCGAAAGCGGCUUCCUGGUCCAGCACCGACGUUCAGGCACGAAAGCGUGGGGAGCAAACAGG